rnacentral:rRNA from 1 species
CCUACGGGUGGCUGCAGUGAGGAAUAUUGGUCAAUGGCCGGAAGGCUGAACCAGCCAUGCCGCGUGAAGGUCAGUGCCCUAUGGGCGUUAAACUUCUUUUGUGCGGGAGCAAUAAUGGUCACGUGUGCCCGGAGGGAGAGUACCCGCAGAAUAAGCAUCGGCUAACUCCGUGCCAGCAGCCGCGGUAAUACGGAGGAUGCGAGCGUUAUCCGGAUUUAUUGGGUUUAAAGGGUGCGUAGGCGGAGUUUUAAGUCAGCGGUAAAAUGUCCGGGCUCAACCCGGGCCGGCCGUUGAAACUGGGGAUCUUGAGUGGGCGAGAAGUAUGCGGAAGGCGUGGUGUAGCGGUGAAAUGCAUAGAUAUCACGCAGAACUCCGAUUGCGAAGGCAGCAUACCGGCGCCCGACUGACGCUGAGGCACGAAAGCGUGGGGAUCGAACAGGAUUAGAUACCCGAGUAGUC